GAUGAAGGCAAAGAGGAAGAGCGGGAAAGCAGGCGGGAGCCAGGCUGCACGGAUUCCAGGAGUCUUCAUGCAGAUGCAGCAUCUGGUUCCUAGGAGAGGACAUUGUGCCCAUCUUGCCAGCCCACCCAGGACAGUUGUGCUCAGCGCUGCUCGCUGUAGGCACAGGGAGAGGCAGAGAUGACAGCUGCUGCUGAUGGACACGCAGAAUACUUACAGCUAAGAGAGGCCGACUGGAGCGGACUAAUUGGCUGGGGUUGACAGAUUGGUAAUCUAGCUGGCCCAGGCUCACAUCUUGGAUCCUAAAGCAGAAGGAAGAGUCGAGAGAGACAGGCAACGGACCUGGAUGACUGCAAGUGGAGCAGGUGCAGAAGUUGAAGCAUAGCCUGUGAGAUGGACAGGAGCAGGUGGUUAGGGGGAUAAGUCAAUUACUGGGAGAGAGGCUGAUGAGGACUGAAGUCAAGGAAGAACAGGUUGGAGGGCUACAGCUGAGGAGCUCCUCUGGAA
rnacentral:lncRNA from 1 species